UACGGAGGGGGCUAGCGUUGUUCGGAAUUACUGGGCGUAAAGCGCACGUAGGCGGCUUUGUAAGUUAGAGGUGAAAGCCCGGGGCUCAACUCCGGAAUUGCCUUUAAGACUGCAUCGCUUGAAUCCAGGAGAGGUGAGUGGAAUUCCGAGUGUAGAGGUGAAAUUCGUAGAUAUUCGGAAGAACACCAGUGGCGAAGGCGACUUACUGGACACAUAUUGACGCUGAGGUGCGAAAGCGUGGGGAGCAAACAGG
rnacentral:rRNA from 1 species